CACGUAGGGCGCGAGCGUUGUCCGGAAUUAUUGGGCGUAAAGAGCUCGUAGGCGGUUUGUCGCGUCUGCUGUGAAAACUCGGGGCUUAACCCCGGGCCUGCAGUGGGUACGGGCAGACUAGAGUGCGGUAGGGGAGACUGGAAUUCCUGGUGUAGCGGUGAAAUGCGCAGAUAUCAGGAGGAACACCGGUGGCGAAGGCGGGUCUCUGGGCCGAUACUGACGCUGAGGAGCGAAAGCGUGGGGAGCGAACAGG
rnacentral:rRNA from 1 species